rnacentral:rRNA from 1 species
CAGCCGCCGCGGUAAUACCAGCUCUCCGAGUGGUGUGGAUGUUUAUUGGGCCUAAAGCAUCCGUAGCUGGCUAAGUUAGUCCCCUGUUAAAUCCAACGAAUUAAUCGUUGGAUCGCGGGGGAUACUGCUUGGCUAGGGGACGAGAGAGGCAGACGGUAUUUCCGGGGUAGGGGUGAAAUCCUAUAAUCCCGGGAAGACCACCAGUGGCGAAGGCUGUCUGCUAGAACGCGCCCGACGGUGAGGGAUGAAAGCUGGGGGAGCGAACCGGAUUAGAUACCCGGGUAGUCCCAGCUGUAAACGAUGCAGGCUAGGUGUUUGGACGGCCACGUGCCGUUCUAGUGCCGCAGGGAAGCUGUUAAGCCUGCCGCCUGGGGAGUACGAUCGCAAGAUUGAAACUUAAAGGAAUUGGCGGGGGAGCACCACAAGGGGUGAAGCUUGCGGUUUAAUUGGAGUCAACGCCGGAAAUCUCACCGGGAGCGACAGCAGUGUGAAGGCCAGAUUAAAGGUCUUGCCAGACGAGCUGAGAGGAGGUGCAUGGCC